UGGCCCUACAGACUGCGGAGGCCUUGUUUACACACGUCUUCCGGCACUAGUGUCUGAUCGGGGUCCCCAGUUCACUUCGAGGGUCUGGAGGGCGUUCAUGGAACGUCUGGGGGGUCUCGAUCAGCCUUCCCUCGGAUUUUCACCCUGAGAGUAAUGGGCAGGUGGAGAGAGUGAACCAGGAUAUGGGUAGGUUUCUGCGGUCUUAUUGUCAGGACCGGCCGGGGGAGUGGGCGGCGUUCGUGCCCUGGGCCGAGAUGGCUUAGAACUCGCUCCGCCACUCCUCCACUAACCUCUCGCCCUUCCAGUGCAUACUGGGAUACCAGUAUUGGCAUCAGAGUCAGACCGAGGCUCCUGCGGUGGACGAUUGGUUCAGGUGCAUGGAGGAGACCUGGGACGCCACCCAUGUUCAUCUCCAGCGGGCAGUGCUGCGCCAGAAGGCCAGCACAGACCAUCACCGCAGUGAGGCCCCGGUGUUCUGGCUCUCGACCCGAAAUCUGUCCCUCCACCUGCCCUACCGGAAGCUGGAGCCACGGUUUGUGGGGCCAAUUAAAGUCCAGAGGAGACUGAACGAGGCCAGUGAUGGCUUUCCCGCUCCAGGAGUUUGAGGUGCGGUAGGUCCUUUUGGACAUCGAGGGGGCCCCGG
ensembl:lncRNA